CCUACGGGAGGCAGCAGUAGGGAAUCUUCCACAAUGGACGAAAGUCUGAUGGAGCAACGCCGCGUGAGUGAAGAAGGGUUUCGGCUCGUAAAGCUCUGUUGGUAGUGAAGAAAGAUAGAGGUAGUAACUGGCCUUUAUUUGACGGUAAUUACUUAGAAAGUCACGGCUAACUACGUGCCAGCAGCCGCGGUAAUACGGGGGAUGCAAGCGUUAUCCGGAUUUAUUGGGUUUAAAGGGUGCGUAGGCUGUGAGGUAAGUCAGCGUUGAAAUGCCCCCGCUCAACGGGGUGAAGUGCCAUUGAUACUGCCUUGAUGGAAUGCGGAUGCCGUGGGAGGAAUGUGUGGUGUAGCAGUGAAAUGCAUAGAUAUCACACAGAACACCGAUUGCGAAGGCAUCUCACGAAUCCGCGAUUGACGCUGAUGCACGAAAGCGUGGGUAUCAAACAGGAUUAGAUACCCCAGUAGUC
rnacentral:rRNA from 1 species